rnacentral:rRNA from 1 species
UACAGAGGUCCCAAGCGUUGUUCGGAUUUACUGGGCGUAAAGGGCUCGUAGGCGGUUUGUCGCGUCGGGAGUGAAAACCCAGGGCUUAACCCUGGGCUGGCUUCCGAUACGGGCAGACUAGAGGUAUGCAGGGGAGAACGGAAUUCCUGGUGUAGCGGUGAAAUGCGCAGAUAUCAGGAGGAACACCGGUGGCGAAGGCGGUUCUCUGGGCAUUACCUGACGCUGAGGAGCGAAAGUGUGGGGAGCGAACAGG